UACGUAGGGUGCAAGCGUUGUCCGGAAUUAUUGGGCGUAAAGAGCUCGUAGGCGGUCUGUCGCGUCGGCUGUGAAAUCCCGAGGCUCAACCUCGGGUCUGCAGUCGAUACGGGCAAACUGGAGUGUUGGAGGGGGGACUGGAAUUCCCGGUGUAGCAGUGAAAUGCGUAGAUAUCGGGAGGAACACCAGUGGCGAAGGCGAGUCCCUGGACAAUUCCUGACGCUGAGGCACGAAAGCCAGGGGAGCAAACAGG
rnacentral:rRNA from 1 species